UGGGGAAUAUUGCACAAUGGGCGAAAGCCUGAUGCAGCGACGCCGCGUGGAGGAAGAAGGUUUUCGGAUUGUAAACUCCUGUUAAGUGGGAAAAAAUAUCGACGGAUAAUACCCGAUCGAGGAUGAUGGUACCGCUAGAGAAAGUACCGGCAAACUUCGUGCCAGCAGCCGCGGUAAUACGAAGGGUACAAGCGUUAUUCGGAGUUACUGGGCGUAAAGAGCGUGUAGGCGGUUGAUUAAGUUAGUUGUUAAAUACCUCGGCCUAACCGAGGAGGUGCGACUAAUACUGGUCGGCUGGAGUGUAAGAGAGAGAAGUAGAAUUCCCGGAGUAGCGGUAAAAUGCGUAGAUCUCGGGAGGAAUACCGAUGGCGAAGGCAGCUUCUUGGCUUAUAACUGACGCUA
rnacentral:rRNA from 1 species